AGCCACCAGACCUGUGGUUCUGUGCCGUGGCCCUGGGAAACCAGUGCCCAGAGGCUUGGAAUCCAGGUCACUGCCACUGUAGCAGUCAGAGUUGUCUCACAAGGCAACUGAGGUCAGCUGACACCUGACUUUGGGAGCCUCCCCCAAAGCUUUUACAGCUCCAGGCAGUGAAAUGCACCUUGCCCUGACUCCUCAGACACCAGAAGCAGCAAGAACCUCGGGCUCCCCCGAGCCCUGAGACCGGGAAGUACAUUUGACCUAAAAUCAAAAAGGAUCCAGAACAAGAAAGUUGUUGAUUCUGACAGUGGGAAGCAGCCACUCAGGGAACAGCCUGGGCAGCCAUGGCCUCUGCAGGACCUGAGAUCUGAGAGCCGGGGGACUGUCGCAUGCUGUGGCCUCACUGUGGUGACAUGUAUCCUUCUGUCAGGAGUGGGAGGGUGCUGGGCCGCACGGGGCCGCUGCUCUCCAUGGCCCCCUUCGUCCCUCCCCAUCUGUGCCCCUGCUUUGUUGGUUUGUGGGGCUGUUUUUGUGGCUGUGCGAAAUCUGGAGGUGAAAUCACCUCACAGCAGGGACUUGCUGCUUAAAACAAGAAAAUAAAACCCGCUCCCCAGCAUCGAAACCAGCGCAGUACAGGAGCAGAGAACAUUUUACACUGGUCACUGGUGGCACAGACCACGGCUGCUUUCCCACCCUGAGCACCAUGCAGCUCUGCCUGAUUUCUGGAGGAGCCAGGGUAUGUGCCAUCCUAGAGGAGCCUCACGCUGCCCCCAAGUCUGAGACCAAGGACUCCCCGGGGCGACGCUGAGACACACGGCCCCUGAAACCUUCCCGGAGCCUGCAGAUGCCUCAUCCUGCAGGAACCAGCUGGCUAGUGUUCGACAGUGCUGCUGUGGUGAGCACACAAAACGUCCUUCUUUGCAGACCUAGGACAGCCGCAGUGGGGAGGAAGACUUUCGGGAAGACAGAGGAGGCCUGCAAAUGAUUCCAACCACUAGGAAUCAAGCUUCCAGCAUCCAAAAGGUCGUUUCACUUCCCUGGAACCUUACUUGAAAGUAAAAUGGAGAAGUAGUUUUAAAUUUUUAUAAUCAAGACCCACAUCUUCUACCACCUGGACUUCCUUUACCACAGUGUGCAUGCCAGCCACUGUGGCAGCCAGAGCCCCCUAGUUCCAGCCCGCUUUUUCCAGAAACGGUCUCUGAAUCACCCGGCUCAGCUCCUGAGCCCCGCAGGCCUCUCUGCUUCCUUCCUGCUUCAGCCCUCUGGUGCUCUCGGACACCGCCACAUACCUGAUAAAACCAGCUGCAACUGAGCCACAAAAACCACAGAUGUGGUCUCUGCUGGGGAACCGACUGCUGAUAUUAGGGAGUUGUGAACCCGAGGUAGAGCCCCACCAAGAUGUGACAUCAUACACAUGCGGUUUAUACACAGUCGUGCUCAAGCAAUCUUCAAGUCCGUCACUCUCACGCCUAGGCCAAGGGUGGCAAACCUAUGGCAUGUGUGCCACAGCAGGCACACAGCCCUCUCCAUCCAUAUAUGAGCCAGCUCCCCCCAGCAGCUGAGCUCACUUGCUGAAGUCCGUUUUCAGCCACAGGAGCAGUGAAGAUGUGAGCCCAGGAUGCUCCUCGGGUUCAGCUGAUGCCCUCCUUGGCAGGAGGCUCAGGUAAGGAAUUCAUGCUUAUAGCAGCUUCUUCAUAGGAAGUCACUGGUGGUGACAGCAGGCACACAGCCCUCUCCAUCCAUAUACGAGCCAGCUCCCCCCCAGCAGCUGAGCUCACUUGCUGAAGUCCGUUUUCAGCCACAGGAGCAGUGAAGAUGUGAGCCCAGGAUGCUCCUCGGGUUCAGCUGAUGCCCUCCUUGGCAGGAGGCUCAGGUGAUCUAGAGUUCCUCUUAUUAAAGUGGUCCCACCUUCUUCCAACUAAUUGCCAUGGCAACCAUUUUCAAGAUGCAGAAUUCACCCUCCAUCCUGGGAUGCUGCUUCGGCACUGGCUGCCACUCUUAAAACCACCGCCUCUCCUUUCCAGGCUAGAUGGUGCUUUGCAGACAGGGUUAGGAUCUCUUUUCUCUGUCUCCCUCCUAGGGGUGCUGAUUCCUGCGAGACCCUGCUCAACAGAACCCCCCUUCCUCAAGUUUCUCUGACAAGACUUUGACCCCACAGUCCCGCCUAGAUUCCCAGCCAGAUGCGCACUGCACAAAACCGAAACAACCUGAACCAAACAGUCGGUCCACGUGCUGGAGCAGCAGGAGGAACUGGCUGGGCUACACCAUUUCUCAUAAUGCCCUGAGCUCAGUUUUCACUCUCAGUAGAGAGGUUUUUGCAUCCUUCCUUAUAAGUGCAUAUUCUCCGUAAAGAUGAUGAGUUCCAAGAAGAUACUGUAUGAGCCAGCUUUCCUGUGGUGGGGAUACAACACCCAACACCCAAACCUUAACACAGCACAGGUGCCACUGGGCUCGCUGCUGAGGACCUUCAGCCUACCUGCAGCCAGCUCCACAGCUGGGGUUGCCGGGAGGCAAUGCAGAGAGCAGGAGCAGGUGUGCCCUGAGGGUGCUUCAGAGACCUCCCUGGCCACUGUCAGGCCAAUCCGGUUGGCAGGUAGGAUUAGCUGUCAUGAUAACCACGGAGGGGUUAAUUCCGAGUUCCGGUUACGAUAGUUAUUGAGGGGGGGUCCUCCUGACUAGCUUGAGGGACACCUAAAGAAUUGGUUCAGACAAGAUCUGGAUAGUGUGAGAAAGAUGGCAAUCCUACGACCCUGCCUCCAGUGGGGCCGAAGCACUGGAUCCCAGUUCCUGCUGGGAGAAGCACCCCAGAGAGGGCACACAGCGCGAGGAGCAGGACAGGAGAUAAGCCUCUGUUGUUAGAAGGCACUGAGAUUCGGGGGAUGCUUGUUAUUGCCAGAUGCAGACAAGAAGUUCACUCUUAAGAACUACUUUAUGGAUUAUUUCUAAAGUUGUUUGCUGGCCUGAGGCAAAGAAUUGGUUUAGAUAACGAGCAGACGAGAAGUUGGAAGAGAACAUGUAUCCGAGUACCAUCCAGAGAAGAUCAGUUCUGCCCACAGGCACAGGAGGUGAGCUGCAGGCACCCAGGGCCAGAGGCGCUUGAAGCUGCAGUGCCCUCCACCAGGGAGGGCAGAGGACAUCCUGUCAGAGUCGGUGUGGAGUGUGCAGUCGACGGCAACAUGCACACGGGCCCGGAGCCAGCGCCCCCAGACUUCCCCUCCUUCCCCCCAUUGCUUUUUGGAGAGAUCUCAACCCACUGGGGACAUGGGGGUGGUGUGUGGGGCUCAGGUUCUCAGGGAAUUUGAAUCAUGAAAUUCUGUUCCAUCCUCACUUGGGUAGAGAAAUGCUGUCGGGGGCAGAGGGUCCCUGAGACUCGGAUAACUGCCGAGGGCACCAGCGGAAGCGGUGGAGUUCGGGGGCCAGGUCCCCACCAUGGGUGGACCGGGCUUCCUGAGCAGUGUGGGGACACUGGGACAGGGACCGCACAGCACCAGGCUGGUGAGGACAGGACCUCAGGCUCGCUGGGCCACCAGUCAUGUGUGCUAGGAAACCAGAAGACAUGUACCCUUGACAUCAUGAGGACUGCCCCAGGAACCCCAGAUACCACGACAGAUGUAUUCACAAGCUGCCGCUCUGAAACCUGUCAUAGCUGCUUUAACCUGUGCUGUCCUCCCACGCAUCAUUUCCACCAUCUCUAGAUUACUAACAAUGCCUAAUACGAUCUAAGUGUUAUAUAAACAAGCAUCACACUUUAUGGUGCGGGGAGCAAUGACAAGGAAGACGUCUGCACAGCUUGGGUACAGACACAAGUCUUUCAAACAUUUUUGAUCCAACAAUGUAGAACUCACUGCUGGGGGGCAGGGAGUCAGUUACAGUUAUGUAACAGGACAACACCACCUUUCUUCCCCCAGAAGACCUUGCCUAUGCCACAGUGACCACCUGGCCAACAACCAAGAUGGAAAGGCCUAUAGAAACCCUGAGGACCCCUGGACCCUCCCGAGGACUCCCUUCAAGUCAAGUGUGAGACCCAAGGAAGUCCUCAUGAUAGGAUUUCAGUCACCUGCAGCUGAGCCAGGGCCUUCUGGGCACAGUGCCCCUGCCCGUCACAGCCCCAGGCUUUGCUCACAAGGUGGCCAUGGUCCCAGUCAGGCUGGAGGGGAACAGGGACCCCCACAUUGGGAGUGCCAGCCAGAGGUAUGCUUCAAAGCAGGGAACAGCAGCCCCUGCACACACUCUGCAAAGAGCUCAGAAGGCCGGGAGCUCCGGGAAGGGUGAGAGUGGCUAUUUCUAAUGGGCCUAUAUUUAGUGCUUCCUGCCAGCAGCUAUUUCGAGCUGUGUGUGAAUGAAAGUGACGUGGAGUGUGGAAAGAAGCAGUGAAGAGGUAACCGAAAAAAGGAAAGGGAUAGCAGACAGGUCCAGGGCACUAUUCCAGCUUAAGUCUCACUGAGUAGAGAAAGCAUAGCCGGAAAAGAAAGCAAGCCCGAAGUUUUAGCUCAGGCAGGGGCAGCAGCACCUGGGUCGCCCGGGAGUGGUUACCUCUGGGUGAACAGAGCUGCGUUUCCAGUCAGCCGCUCACUCCGGGUCUCAUUUAACCCUGAAAGACAGCACCAUGACUCCCAGCCACCCGCAGGACGUGGCAGAUCAGCAUCCCAUCACAGCCUGAUGGCUCUGCGGCUGUGAUCCGCUGUCCACAGGGAAGCUCCACUGCCCACAGCCAGGCCAGGCAGCACCACGCCGCAGCCCAAUGGAGCUCGGGUUCCCGACUUGACUGACAAAAUCCUCAUUAGGAGAAAUCUUCAAUUAAUCGAGUGUUCUGGGUAAUUUAACUUAUGGCUUAAUUAAGCAGUAACCAGAAAAACUUUUCCAUUAAAACGCAUUGUCCCGAAAUAGAUAAAGCACACUUGUUUGGCUUUGUGAGCCCAAUUUAAAUUUUCUUUGAUAAUUAAGUCACUGCCUCCGGAAACCACUUCUCACCACCCUGUAACACACCCUGCUCUGUGCUGUCAGAUUUUACAUCUUUCCCAGCUUUCUCCUAAGUAAGGCCACAGAGGGCAUCUCUAAGGAUAUGACUGUUUAUUUUAUGUUACAUGUUCGUCUCAUAUGUGCCUAAAGUGAAAUAUUGGGCCAACUGGGUUAUGAAAUACCCGAUUCUGAUGCUUCCAAGAACAUUACCAAAGGGCUCCAUGAGCUUCCAUCACGUCAGUUCUGGCCUUGUCCCUUAGGGGAGACCCCACCCAGCGACUUGGGCACUGUCCUGGGAAGGUCGCAGCAUGCAGCUGCCACAGCCUGCAGCCCACUGCUACCAGGAUUCUGAGGAACAAAGCAAUGUAGAUUCCUGGAGCACACAACAGGCUUCUGGGUCCAGCUUUGGGGACCCAUUGCCACCUAGGUCCCGCCUCCUCAUGGCAGGAGCCACUGUUUCAUUGGUCAGGAGAUAAAUCCACCCCUCAGGAGAGCACCUCCAGGGUCCAACCACCCUUCACACAUAGGGGACACUGUAGGUCGAAACCAUAGCAGAUACUGUAUUGCAGCCACUCUUUCUUUGUAAGUAGGCAUGAGCUCUAAAAUAAUAAUACUACCAUAAUUCUUAAACCAGCAACAUGGCCGCUCAUCAUCAAGGAUAAUAAAUGUUCUCAGCGGUGUGCUGUACCCUUGCCCUGCACGGUAGCUUUGUUUACUUUGCACCAGCACUGCCACACACACGUGAGAAGGUGCUGCCCCGCAGCGUGAUGAUAGCAAUCGUGUUAUAGCACAAGAGGAGUUUUUCAGUUCUGUUAGAACCCUACGAGACCACUGGCACAUGUGCAGGCGCUGCUGACUAGAACAUAGUGUGACUCAGGACUCUGUACCCUUGUAAUCUCUGAGAGUGACAUGCCAGUUGAUGGGACUGGCAGCAGACUGGUGACUGGUGAGCAGAGAAGGCUGCAGGAGGGAGGGUGCUGGAAGGGGAAGCCGGGAACCCGGAGAAGAAGGAAGCAGAGAGGCAGCUCUGGGAGAAGAAGCAACACACUGUCCGUGGUGAGAGAGAAGAGAAGAAAACCCUGGUGGUCUGUGUUGUAACCUGUUAACCAGUUCCUUUCGCUACCUUGCUGUUCUGUAAAGCACCGACCAUUCCCCCCCUCCAACUGCUCCAUAAGAGAUGAUAAAAUUGUUUGUCCUGAUAGAGACAUCUGUUCCAAGAAAUGACCCACCACAAAAACCACAACCUUGUACUUACGUGCGUGAAAAGUCCCCAGGUGAAGCUGUACCCAAAACUAUGCUUGAGAGCUUUCCAAAGGACACACACCAGCACAAACACCCUCCCUCACUUUGCGGAUUUUGCCUUCAAAAGUUUCAGACUCCUUCACUCGGGGUGCUCAGUCUAGCAACUGUGGGACUGACACCGCUGGGUACCAGCUAAAAUAAAGCGCUUCUCUUUUUCUAUUU